GGUUUAAUUCGAUGAUACGCGAGGAACCUUACCCGGGCUUAAAUUGCAGAUGAAUUACGGUGAAAGCCGUAAGCCGCAAGGCAUCUGUGAAGGUGCUGCAUGGUUGUCGUCAGCUCGUGCCGUGAGGUGUCGGCUUAAGUGCCAUAACGAGCGCAACCCUUGUUGUCAGUUACUAACAGGUUCCGCUGAGGACUCUGACAAGACUGCAUCGUAAGAUGUGA
rnacentral:rRNA from 1 species